rnacentral:rRNA from 1 species
GAUGAACACUAGCGAUAGGCUUAACACAUGCAAGUCGAGGGGCAGCAUGGUCUUAGCUUGCUAAGACUGAUGGCGACCGGCGCACGGGUGCGUAACGCGUAUGCAACUUGCCUCACAGAGGGGGAUAACCCGUCGAAAGACGGACUAAUACCGCGUACACUCCAUCUUGGGCAUCCAAGGUAGAGGAAAUGAAAUUCGCUGUGAGAUAGGCAUGCGUCCCAUUAGCUAGUUGGUGAGGUAACGGCUCACCAAGGCGACGAUGGGUAGGGGAACUGAGAGGUGAAACCCCCCACCUGUAACGAGGCACCGACCCGAAUCCCUCGGGAGGCAGCAGUGAGGAAUAUUGGUCAAUGGGCGAGAGCCUGAACCAGCCAAGUCGCGUGAAGGAUGACUGUCUUAUGGAUUGUAAACUUCUUUUAUACGGGAAUAACAAGAGUCACGUGUGACUCCCUGCAUGUACCGUAUGAAUAAGCAUCGGCUAACUCCGUG